rnacentral:rRNA from 1 species
CCCUUAGAGUUUGAUCCUGGCUCAGAAUGAACGUUGGCGGUGUGCUUAACACAUGCAAGUCGAGCGAGAAAGUUCUUCGGAAUGAGUAGAGCGGCGAACGGGUGAGUAACGCGUGAGGAUCUCCCCUUCAGUGAAGGAUACCCUUGAGAAAUUAAGGUUAAUACUGCAUACGUCCCAUGUAACCCAUGGGAGAAAGAUGGCCUCUUGCUGUCGCUGAAAGAUGAACUUGCGUUCUAUUAGCUAGUUGGUGGGGUAAAGGCUCACCAAGGCGAUGAUGGAUAGCCGGCCUGAGAGGGUGAUCGGCCACAUUGGAACUGAGAUACGGUCCAGACUCCUACGGGAGGCAGCAGUGAGGAAUAUUGCACAAUGGGCGAAAGCCUGAUGCAGCGACACCGCGUGAAGGAUGAAAGUCUUAGGAUUGUAAACUUCUGUUAAGUGGGAAAAAAGACCUGUCUCAAAUAAAGACAGGGGAUGAUGGUACCACUAGAGAAAGCACCGGCUAACUUCGUGCCAGCAGCCGCGGUAAUACGAGGGGUGCAAACGUUAUUCGGAAUUACUGGGUGUAAAGGGUAUGUAGACGGCAUCUUAAGUCAAUUGUUAAAUUCCCCGGCUUAACUGGGGGUAGGCGAUUGAAACUAAGAAGCUAGAGGAUGGAAGAGAGAAGUGGAAUUCUCGGAGUAGCGGUAAAAUGCGUAGAUCUCGAGAGGAACACCGAUGGCGAAAGCAGCUUCUUGGUCCGUAUCUGACGUUGAGAUACGAAAGCGUGGGGAGCAACAGAUUAGAUACCCUGGUAGUCACGCUGUAACGAUGAUCACUAGACGUUGGGCUUGCUUGCAGCUCAGUGUCGCAGCUACGCGAUAAGUGAUCACUGGGGACUACGUCGCAGAUAAACUCA